rnacentral:rRNA from 1 species
CCUACGGGAGACAGCAGUGGGGGAUCUUGGACAAUGGGGGGAACCCUGAUCCAGCGACGCCGCGUGAGUGAAGAAGUAUUUCGGUAUGUAAAGCUCUGUCAGCAGGGAAGAAAGAAAUGACGGUACCUGAACAAGAAGCCCCGGCUAACUACGUGCCAGCAGCCGUGGUAAUACGUAGGGGGCAAGCGUUAUCCGGAAUUACUGGGUGUAAAGGGCGCGUAGGCGGUUAAGUAAGUCUGGAGUGAAAGGCCGGGGCCCAACCCCGGGACUGCUCUGGAAACUAUUGAGCGUGAGUGCAGUAGAGGUAAGCGGAAUUCCUAGUGUAGCGGUGAAAUGCGUAGAUAUUAGGAGGAACACCAGUGGCGAAGGCGGCUUACUGGACUGGAACUGACGUUGAGGCUCGAAAGCGUGGGGAGCAAACAGGAUUAGAUACCCCUGUAGUC